AUUGAACGCUGGCGGCUUGCUUAACACAUGCAAGUCAAACGGCAGCACAGUGUGUAGCAAUACACAUGGGUGGCGAGUGGCGGACGGGUGAGUAACGCGUAGGAAUCUGCCUUGAAGCGGGGGAUAACCCGAGGAAACUCGGGCUAAUACCGCAUGAUAUCGAGAGAUUAAAGCUAGGUAGCAAUACCCAGCACUUCAAGAGGAGCCUGCGUACGAUUAGCUAGUUGGUGGGGUAAAGGCCUACCAAGGCGAUGAUCGUUAGCUGGUCUGAGAGGAUGAUCAGCCACACUGGAACUGAGACACGGUCCAGACUCCUACGGGAGGCAGCAGUGGGGAAUAUUGGACAAUGGGGGCAACCCUGAUCCAGCAAUGCCGCGUGUGUGAAGAAGGCCUUCGGGUUGUAAAGCACUUUAGUUUGGGAGGAAGUUAUGUAGUUUAAGAGAUGACAUAAUUGACUGUACCGAAAGAAUAAGCACCGGCUAACUCUGUGCCAGCAGCCGCCGUAACAC
rnacentral:rRNA from 1 species